AUGGAGGGUAGGGAAGACAAGAGGGAGAGCCGGCGCGCCACAUCGGCGGUGACCGGCAAGGCGUCCAAAAGGAAAGCGGCGAGCUCGAACGGCGAAGCCUAUGCUGCUCCAAUAGGGCUCGAUCUGAGCACAAGGGUGAAGCUACUCCUCGAGAAGAGCAAAAGAGAACACGAGGAAACCCUAGCCCUCCACCUAAAGAUAUACGAAGACCUGGAAAAGGAGGGAGAAAUUGAGUUCGACGAUGAGGCCAACACCGACGAUGAGGCCAGCAUGAUCGAGUUCAAUGAAUGGAGCAGGCAAUUAUGGGCGGCCACGGACUUCAGCGGCCUGAACCCGGGUGACGAAUCCAGUGGCGUUGAUUGCAUUGCCGAAUACCUUGGUUCACCGCGCACCGACGACGGGCACGAUGAGGAUGGCCCUUAG
rnacentral:rRNA from 1 species